CGAGACAGCCGGGUGAUCGCGGCGCGUGGAACCAGCCGUUUAGUGCGGAAAGGCCAGGCGCGGAGGAAAGUCCGGACUCCAUAGGGCGCGGUGGUUGCUAACGGCAACCCGGGGUGACCCGCGGGCUAGUGCCACAGAAAACAAACCGCCUGGCGCCUUCGGGCGUGCGGGUAAGGGUGAAAAGGUGCGGUAAGAGCGCACCAGCACCUCAGGUGACUGGGGUGGCUUGGUAAACCCCACCGGGAGCAAGGUCAAGUGUUUGCACUGCAGUCUUCGGGUUGAUAGUGCGAGCGAGUUCGAGGGCGGCCCGCCCGUGUGAUGAAUAGGUAGACCGCUUGAGGCCACCAGCGAUGGUCGGCACAGAUGGAUGAUCGCCUCGUCCACGUCUUCCCCUCGGGGAGGGGGUGGAUAGACAGAAUCCGGCUCAUAGGCUGUCUCGACCU
rnacentral:RNase_P_RNA from 2 species